ACUUAUCUCAUGCUUUCCAUUCCCAUAAAGGAUGUUAGGAAGUAUGUUUGAGUAACUUAAGUUCCUAAUUGUUGAGUAUCUGGCAUAAUUUUUCAAACUCCCCCAACUUUCAUGAUUAGAUCAUAUAACAUUUCUAUCCACAGAAUACUUUGUUUAUAUGAGAAGACUUUUACCACACUGCAGUUCAUCGCUCUCCAUGUAAAAUAUCCCUGUUUAUUUUGAAUCUGACAUGAGGAAGGGAGAGAGUAGACAGGGAAAAAUGGGAAAAUAAAUCUCAAUCACUUUGGCUGUGGAGACCUAACUAAGAGCCUGGAGGUGAACUUGGUUCAACUAAGAUCACAUAUGUGUUGUUACAUUUCCAAUCCAUUUCUGUUUUUUCUACUGUGACCCACAAAAUUUAUUCAAUUUGUACUUAAUUAAACUAAAAAGUUUCAGCACAGCAAAAGAAACAAUCAGCAGAGUAAACAGACAAUGCACAGAGUGGGAGAAAAUCUUCACAAUCUAUACAUCUGACAAAGGACUAAGAUCCAAAAUCUACAACGAACUCAAACAAAUUAGCAAGAAAAAAACAAACAGUCCCAUCAAAAAGUGGGCUAAGGACAUGAACAG
rnacentral:lncRNA from 10 species